CUUUGUGGCCCAGAUGCACCAGACAAGGAACGCAGAUCCUCAAGGAUGUUGAAUAGAAGUGUUGCAAGUGCAUCCUUUCCUUGUUCCUGAUCUCAAAGAAAGUGCUGAAUAUCACAGAACACAAAGAAAAGAGGAGACACUGACAGAGCUUAUAAAUGUUGCACGAAGGUUCAGAUAUAAACAUUUCUGCUGGCUUUUUAAGGAGUACUGUGUUUCCUACAU